UAUUUAUAGUUUCUUUGGAAAAGCAUACAAUUUAGGUGCAUUAAAAGCUGAAAUUAAAGGCUGAAAAUUGUAUUAAACUUAAUGGCUUUGACAGUAAACUAUAUAGGCUCAAAUCUUACUUUCUGCCAUUGGAUAAUUUCCCCACGCUCCCUGUAUCUUUAUCAUCCCUAGGUGUGAUGAUUCUAGAUGGUUCUGAGAUUCAUUGACUCAACAAAUGUCUCCCACUUCUACUUGACAGUGUUUAUCCUUGAUGCCAAAGAGAGAGGGGAAUUCUCCAUUACGUAAGAGCUUCAGGAAGAUGCAAAUCAAGGCCACCGUGAAGCAUCACCUCACACCUGUUAGAAUGACUGCCACCAAAAAGCAAAGGGGUAACAAGUGUUGACAAGCUUGUGGAGAGAUGCUGACCCACAUACGCUGUUGGUGGGAAUGUAAAUAGGUGCCGCCGUUCUGGAAAACUGUAUGGUAACUCCUCAAUCUGACUGGCAUUGGCAAAGAAAUGCAUGAGUAAAUUUUAUAUAUGCAUAUAUUAUAGGAAUAUUAUUCAGCACUUAAGACAUCGGGAAUGCAAUCUAUGACAACAUGGUUGAAUCUGAGAGACAUUGUGGCAGACACAGAACGCCAAUAAAGAGCAUUUU